AUAAAAAUUGCGAAGAGUAAAGGAGAAAGAACGCCCCCCUGCGGUACGCCAGCAGCCGUGUCAGACCAGGAAGAGUAUGAACCCUCGACGGCAACACGCUGCCGGCGGCCACACAGGUAACUACGAAAGAAAUCAAUCACAGUUGGAGAUAUGUUAAGAGAGCUCAGUAUUCCAAGCAGUAUGUCGAAAUCAACGGUAUUGAAGGCGUUGCUAAAAUCUAACAAGGUAAGGAGAGUGAGAUUGCCAUUUUCAAUACCGCAUCGUAUGUCGUCAGUAAUGUGAACUAGAGCCGUAGUGGUACUAUGUCCCGGACGAAACCCGGAUUGGUAGGGAUUAAGGAGACGGUGUUUGGUAAGGAAAGUACUAAGCUGGUUAUAGAUGAGUCGUUCUAGGACCUUGGAAAGGAAAGGUAAUAUGGAAAUAGGACGAUAGUCGGAAAAGGAUUCAGGAUUUGGUUUUUUAGGGAGCGGUGUGAUUUGCGCUUCCUUCCAAGCAGAAGGAAAAACGCCACUGGAUAAGGAAUAGUUAAGGAUAUGACAGAUGACAGGAAGGAUUUCAUCCAAGACAGGGAGUAUCAUCUUACGGCUGACACUGUCACUCCCUACUGCAUUGGAACUGAUGGAUAAUAUGCUCUUUCUAACAUCACAAGCUGUGAGUUGAUUGAAGAAGAAUGGUGGGUAGUCGGGAGAGGGAAGAGAAGAAAGAUAGUUUAAAGUCUUAGAUUUGAUAGACCCAUUAAUAUAGGGUGAAGAAGAGAAGUGUUUGUUAAGAGAUUCAAAAUCUAAGUCUUUGGUGAUAGCAUUCUGACGUUGUUUACCAACACCCAUCGACCUUAAGAAUCUCCAGAUCUUGGCUGGAUCACCAUUUUCAACGGACUCAUGAAUGUGGCGGCGUUGUGCAUCCCUACACAUCCUGUUGCUUCGAUUACGAGCUGCAAUAUACUCCUCACGGUUUGCCGGAUUUGGUUGGCGUUUAAAUUUAUCUUUAGCUGCUGCCUUUCUGUGUAGCAUGACCCUGAUAUCAUCUGUCAACCACGGCGCUGGUGCAUGCUUAAUUUUUACUGGACGAAUCGGAGCAUGUACAUCAUACAGUUCGUUGAGUUUAUUACUAAACACCUUAAUUUUAUCAUCGAUCGCCUCAGCGUCACGGAGCUCAGACCAGUCUAUGUUGCCGGCAUCCUCACGAAGCCUGUCAAGAUCCAUGCUACCAAAAUUGCGCUGAAGGAGUGUUUUAGGUUUAGAUUUAGGAGGAGAGAGUUUGUAGGAAAGGAAGAUAAGGUCAUGGUAGGAGAAAUUGUCAGCAGAACAUUGUCCGUGCUUGACAACGUGCUGGUCUGACGAGACAAGGAUAAGAUCAAGAAGAGAAGGUGAACAGUUAGGAAAGUGGUGAGUGGCACUUAGAGGAAGAAGAGACAAGUUGAAGGAUUGAGCGAUGGAUUGAAGUGAAGAGGAGCGAGAAUCUUGUUUUAGGAGACAGGUGUUAAAGUCACCCAUAAUUAUGCUAUGACUGUAAGAGGGAGUUAAUUUUAGGAGUAAAUUUUCGAAAGAGGAGAAAUAACUGACACGUAAAGAAGGACAGUAAUAGACACCGAGCAAUACUCUGGUAUGCCGCAGUGUCAGUUCCAAGAAAAGAUGCUCGCCAGCGUUCUGCGGCGGAGGCUGCGGUGACAUAUCAAUUAUUUUAAAGGAAAUGUUUGCGCGGAGAUAUAUGGCAACACCGCCGCCGCCGCAGCUCGUGCGAUCAUUUCUUAUCAACUGGUAUCCAGGUAGAGAGUAGGAAGUGGAAGGGAGACAAGGUUUUAACCAGGAUUCGGAAACUAGGAUUGCAUGGAUAUUCUUACAGUCAAGAUUUGCCAGCAUAUCGUGGUAAUGAGCCGGAAUACUCUGUGCAUUUAUAUGGACUACAUUAAGAUUUUUCGAUACAUCGGAGAAAUGAGCCUCAAGUGUGUCAGAAAGAGAGGGUAAACUACAAAAGCUGUCGUUAUCGAAGUUUGCUGAAAUAAAACUGUCAUUAUCACUCUGCGUGUCAUUCAUCACAAUUUAUAAGUAUAAAAUAAUAAUAAUAAAAAUAUAAUAAUAUAAUUAUAUAUAAUAUAAUGUGGGUGUAAUAAUUAAAAUAAAUAAUAAUAAUAGAAAAGUAAGGUAGUUUGUGUGAACUAUGCUCAGGUCCACCUGCCGGUUCCGUGUUACAAUUUUAUAAUAUACGACUACCUCACAACACAACACAACACAGUGCCUCGCUCGGGCAAAAAUCUCAAAGGUUUUAUAAAAAAGUAGAUAAAUAACUGAAAAGAUAAUUAGGGUGAAAAAGUGAUGAGGAUAAAUGUAAAUAAACAGAUAAAAUUAUUUUGUAUAUAAACAUAAAUAAAUAAAAAUUGUAAUAAAUAAAAUAAUAUUUGGCAUCAUCUGCAUUGAUAUUGUCUAUGGUUUCAUAGACAAUUCAUGCAUCCGAUGCCAAACCUGGAACGCUACUUGACAUUUGACAUGUGUCAAACGUCAGAAACAGUAAACAAAGUAAGGUUUGAGAAUAAAUAACGGUGACUGAUAGAAAUAUAGAAGAUAGUUAUAAUAAAAUAAAAAAAAAGGGGUAAAGGAUUAAAAUAAAAUAAAUAUGUUAACAUGGGUAGAAGCAAUAAAUACAUAAAGAAGUAAUAAAUAUAUUGUGAAGGUAUUCGAUUACUACCUCAAGACAAAGGAAAUAAGAAGUGAGAUUGUUACCCGAACGAAGCAGGUCUAUUGGAGUCACUUUUUGUUGACGCCGCGCUUCCCUCUCCGUGCCACUGCCGCAGGAGAUCGCUCGGAGACUGCCGCCGUAGACCGCUCAGGGACUGCUGCAGGCUCGCCAAUCGCACGCAACUCGCUGUGACUGACUAUGCGGUGCCUGACGCCAUCCGGCCCCAGGACAUAGAUGUGGCCCGCAUUAGUCCAGCAUUUCGUCACACCGAACUUGUUCCGCGCCGCCAUGAAGACCUGGUGUCGUGUCUUGGUCAGGAACUCGGAUAUCGUGAUACCCGUUCCCUUCAGUUUGGUCUUGCUGUGCCAGACCUUGUCUCGGGUAUCCACAUCCUGCACCUUAACCAGUAUGGGUCUGGGACUUGACUUGCCGGUGAAGCUGCCCACCCGGUGACAACGACGGACAUCGGAGGAACUCCGUGGAUCAGCAACAUCUUUCUGCGGCCUCUCAUCUCCAGUGCAUCCAUAUCACGGGCAAAGAAUUCCAUCUGCCGCUGCAGACACUCAAGCGCAUCCAGAGUGAAUCGCUUGAAUGCCCAGUAGUCCUGUGCCAGAGCUGAUGUGCCGCCAGAUGCAAGUUUGGAUGGUGUACUGCUGUGCCCGGCCUCAAAUCUUGCCAUCCUUUCCUGGAACUCUGCCCUCAUCUGCGCCAGUGUUCCGUUGACCGCCUCCACUGCCUCCAUGUUGCCGAUAUUGUGACGUAAUGUUUAGGAAAAAUAAAGAGAACCAGCAGGUAGUGCCUUUUAAUGAGCACCUAUUUUGUAAAAUUGAAUUUUAAAAUUUAAAAUAAAUUAUUUAUUUUUGGGAGAGACGCUUUC